rnacentral:rRNA from 1 species
UACAGAGGGGGCAAGCGUUAUUCGGAAUUAUUGGGCGUAAAGCGUGCGCAGGCGGUUUUGUAAGCCAGAUGUGAAAUCCCCGGGCUUAACCUGGGAAUGGCAUUUGGGACUGCAAGGCUCGAGUGCGGCAGAGGAGACUGGAAUUCCUGGUGUAGCAGUGAAAUGCGUAGAUAUCAGGAGGAACACCGAUGGCGAAGGCAGGUCUCUGGGCUGACACUGACGCUCAUGCACGAAAGCGUGGGAGCAAACAGG